rnacentral:rRNA from 1 species
AGCUUGCUGGGUGGAUUAGUGGCGAACGGGUGAGUAACACGUGAGUAACCUGCCCUUAAUUCUGGGAUAAGCCUGGGAAACUGGGUCUAAUACCGGAUAGGAGCGCCGACCGCAUGUUGGGUGUUGGAAAGAUUUAUCGGUUGUGGAUGGACUCGCGGCCUAUCAGCUUGUUGGUGAGGUAAUGGCUCACCAAGGCGACGACGGGUAGCCGGCCUGAGAGGGUGACCGGCCACACUGGGACUGAGACACGGCCCAGACUCCUACGGGAGGCAGCAGUGGGGAAUAUUGCACAAUGGGCGCAAGCCUGAUGCAGCGACGCCGCGUGAGGGAUGACGGCCUUCGGGUUGUAAACCUCUUUCAGUAGGGAAGAAGCGAAAGUGACGGUACCUGCAGAAGAAGCACCGGCUAACUACGUGCCAGCAGCCGCGGUAAUACGUAGGGUGCGAGCGUUAUCCGGAAUUAUUGGGCGUAAAGAGCUCGUAGGCGGUUUGUCGCGUCUGUCGUGAAAUUCCGGGGCUUAACCCCGGAUCUGCGGUGGGUACGGGCAGACUAGAGUGCAGUAGGGGAGACUGGAAUUCCUGGUGUAGCGGUGGAAUGCGCAGAUAUCAGGAGGAACACCGAUGGCGAAGGCAGGUCUCUGGGCUGUAACUGACGCUGAGGAGCGAAAGCAGUGGGGAGCGAACAGGAUUAGAUACCCUGGUAGUCCAUCGCCGUAAACGUUGGGCAGCUAGGAUGUGAGGGNCCAUUCC